rnacentral:rRNA from 1 species
GCAAGUCGAGCGGUAAGCUAACUUCGGUUAGCCUAGAGCGGCGGACGGGUGAGUAACGCGUGGGAAUUUACCCAAUGGUACGGAAUAACUCAGGGAAACCGGAGAUAAUACCGUAUAAGCCCUUCGGGGGAAAGAUUUAUCGCCAUUGGAUGAGCCCGCGUCGGAUUAGCUUGUUGGUGAGGUAAAAGCUCACCAAGGCGACGAUCCGUAGCUGGUCUGAGAGGAUGAUC